rnacentral:rRNA from 1 species
GAAGAACGCUGGCGGCAGGCUUAACACAUGCAAGUCGAGCGCCCCGGAAUGGGAGCGGCAGACGGGCGAGUAACGCGUGGGAAUCGACACAUCUCUACGGAAUAACGCAUGGAAGCGUGUGCUAAUACCGUAUACGUCCUUCGGUAGAAAGAUUUAUCGGAGAUUGUUGAGCCUGCGUUGGAUUAGCUAGUUGGUGGGGUAAAGGCCUACCAAGGCGACGAUCGAUAGCUGGUCUGAGAGGAUGAGCAGCCACACUGGGACUGAGACACGGCCCAGACUCCUACGGGAGGCAACAGUGGGGAAUAUUGGACAAUGGACGCAAGCCUGAUCCAGCCAUGCCGCGUGAGUUAUGAAGGCCCUAGGGUUGUAAAGAUCUUUCCCCGGGGACGUUAAUGACGGUACCCGGAGAAGAAGCCCCGGCUAACUUCGUGCCAGCCGCCGCAGUAACAC